GACGAACGCUGACGGCGUGCUUAACACAUGCAAGUCGAACGGAAAGGCCCUGCUUUUGUGGGGUGCUCGAGUGGCGAACGGGUGAGUAACACGUGAGUAACCUGCCCUUGACUUUGGGAUAACUUCAGGAAACUGGGGCUAAUACCGGAUAGGAGCUCCUGCUGCAUGGUGGGGGUUGGAAAGUUUCGGCGGUUGGGGAUGGACUCGCGGCUUAUCAGCUUGUUGGCGGGGUAGUGGCUUACCAAGGCUUUGACGGGUAGCCGGCCUGAGAGGGUGACCGGCCACAUUGGGACUGAGAUACGGCCCAGACUCCUACGGGAGGCAGCAGUGGGGAAUAUUGCACAAUGGGCGGAAGCCUGAUGCAGCAACGCCGCGUGCGGGAUGACGGCCUUCGGGUUGUAAACCGCUUUCGCCUGUGACGAAGCGUGAAUGACGGUAAUGGGUAAAGAAGCACCGGCUAACUACGUG
rnacentral:rRNA from 1 species